CCUACGGGAGGCUGCAGUCGAGAAUCAUUCACAAUGGGGGAAACCCUGAUGCUGCGACGCCGCGUGGGGGAAUGAAGGUCUUCGGAUUGUAAACCCCUGUCAUGUGGGAGCAAAUUAAAAAGAUAGUACCACAAGAGGAAGAGACGGCUAACUCUGUUCCAGCAGCCGCGGUAAUACAGAGGUGUCAAGCGUUGUUCGGAAUCACUGGGCGGAAAGCGUGCGUAGGCUGUUUCGUAAGUCGUGUGUGAAAGGCGCGGGCUCAACCCGCGGACGGCCCAUGAUACUGCGAGACUAGAGUAAUGGAGGGGGAACCGGAAUUCUCGGUGUAGCGGUGAAAUGCGUAGAUAUCGCGAGGAACACUCGUGGCGAAGGCGGGUUCCUGGACAUUAACUGACGCUGAGGCACGAAGGCCAGGGGAGCGAAAGGGAUUAGAUACCCGAGUAGUC
rnacentral:rRNA from 1 species